rnacentral:RNase_P_RNA from 1 species
AGAUAAGUGGGGGUGGUUGCCCCGCAGGAUGUAAUCCGGCGGGGAGGAAAGUCCGGGCUCCGGAGGGCAGCGCAGCGGGUAAUCCCCCGCCCAUGCGCCGUAAGGCGCAUGAGGAUCAGAGCUACAGAGACGAGUCCUGCGGCCGAAAGGGCGCAGGGGUGAAACGAGCAAUCUCUGCGCGGAGCAAUGCCAUGUAGGAAGCGGUGGGGCUGCCCGUCCCGUAUAAGCUUCGGGUUGGCUGCUAGAGCGCCGGAGGCGACUUCGGCGUCGAGAGAAAUGACCACGUAAACAAAACUCGGCUUACACCACUUAUCUCAUC